GCCAGCCGCCGCGGUAAUACCGGCGGCUCGAGUGGUGGCCACUUUAUUGGGCUUAAAGCGUUCGUAGCUGGGUUAUUAAGUCCCUUGGGAAAUCCGACAGCUUAACUGUCGGGCGUCUAAGAGAUACUGGUAAUCUUGGAACCGGGAGAGGUGAGGGGGUACUUCGGGGGUAGGAGUGAAAUCCUGUAAUCCUCGAGGGACCACCUGUGGCGAAGGCGCCUCACCAGAACGGCUUCGACAGUGAGGGACGAAAGCUGGGGGAGCAAACCGGAUUAGAUACCCGGGUAGUCCCAGCCGUAAACGAUGUGCGUUAGGUGUAUCGGUGACCACGAGUCACCGAGGUGCCGAAGGGAAACCGUGAAACGUACCGCCUGGGAAGUACGGUCGCAAGGCUGAAACUUAAAGGAAUUGGCGGGGGAGCACCACAACAGGUGGAGCCUGCGGUUUUAAAUUGGACUCAACGCCGGAAAUCUCACCGGAUAAGACAGCAGAAUGAUUGCCGGGCUGAAGACUCUGCAUGACUAGCUGAGAAGAGGUGCAUGG
rnacentral:rRNA from 1 species